rnacentral:rRNA from 1 species
AAGCAAUAGUCAAUAAGCGGAGGAAAAGAAACCAACAGGGACUCGGCCUUAGUAACGGCGAGUGAAGCGGCAACAGCUCAAAUUUAAAUCUGCCCCCCGGCCGAGUUGUAAUUUGUAGAGGAACGUUCGGCUUCGUCAAGGUCCGAGUCUUCUGGAAGGAAGCGCCGAUGAGGGUGAGAGCCCCGUACGACCGACGACCCCGCCAUGUGAACGUCCUUCGAAGAGUCGAGUUGUUUGGGAAUGCAGCUCCAAGCGGGUGGUAAAUUCCAUCUAAAGCUAAAUAUUGGCCAGAGACCGAUAGCGAACAAGUAGAGUGAUCGAAAGAUGAAAAGCACUUUGGAAAGAGAGUGAAACAGUACGUGAAAUUGUUGAAAGGGAAGCGCUUGCGACCAGACUUGACCGUUUGGUUCAGGAGUCCUUCUGGACUCUGUACUUCCAUUCGGUCGGGCCAACAUCAGUUCGAGCGGUCGGACAAAGGCCCUGGGAACGUGGCUCCUUCGGAGUGUUAUAGCCCGGGGUGCAAUACGGCCAGUUCGGACUGAGGCAUGCCUAUGAAGGAUGUUGGCGUAAUGGUUGUCAGCGGCCCGUCUUGAAACACGGACCAAGGAGUCUAACGUCCAUGCGAGUGUUUGGGUGGAAAACCCGCACGCGAAAUGAAAGUGAACGUUGGUGGGAGCUUCGGCGCACCAUCGACCGAUCCUGAAGUUUUCGGAAGGAUUUGAGUAUGAGCAUGGGCGUUGGGACCCGAAAGAUGAUGAACUAUGCGUGAAUAGGGCGAAGCCAGAGGAAACUCUGGUGGAGGCUCGCAGCGGUUCUGACGUGCAAAUCGAUCGUCAAAUUUGCGUAUAGGGGCGAAAGACUAAUCGAAUCAUCUAGUAGCUGGUUCCUGCCGAAGUUUCCCUCAGGAUAGCAGUAACGAAUCUCAGUUUUAUGAGGUAAAGCGAAUGAUUAGAGGCCUGGGGGCUGAAACAGCCUUCACCUAUUCUCAAACUUUAAAUAUGUAAGAAGUCCUUGUCACUUGAUUGGACGUGGACAUUCGAAUGUGCGUUACUAGUGGGCCAUUUUUGGUAAGCAGAACUGGCGAUGCGGGAUGAACCGAACGCGUGGUUAAGGUGCCGGAAUGUUCGCUCAUCAGACACCACAAAAAGUGUUAGUGCAUCCAGACAGCAGGACGGUGGCCAUGGAAGUCGGAAUCCGCUAAGGAGUGUGUAACAACUCACCUGCCGAAUGCACUAGCCUUGAAAAUGGAUGGCG